AUUGCUUCUUGGCCUUUUGGCUAAGAUCAAGUGUAGAUAUAUAUUUAAUGCAUCUCUUCAAAUUUAUCAGAUGAGUAUAAGGAGGAAUUAUUAAUUUUUACUGUGAAUGUUUAAAGAACAGUUUUCCUUGUGUCUUCAUGUCCUGAAAGAAAGCAUAACCCUU
rnacentral:snRNA from 1 species